rnacentral:rRNA from 1 species
AACAAACGCUGGCGGCGUGCCUAAUACAUGCAAGUCGAACGGGGAAAGCUUUCGGGUGAGUACUAGUGGCGCACGGGUGAGGAACGCGUGGAUAAUCUGCCUUAGAGUGGGGGAUAACUAGUCGAAAGAUUAGCUAAUACCGCAUAAGACCACGAGAGCUGCGGCUUUUGAGGUCAAAGGUUUUUCGCUCUAAGAUGAGUCCGCGUAAGAUUAGCUAGUUGGUGAGGUAACGGCUCACCAAGGCGACGAUCUUUAACUGGUCUGAGAGGAUGAUCAGUCACAAUGGAACUGAGACACGGUCCAGACUCCUACGGGAGGCAGCAGGAGGGAAUAUUGCACAAUGGAGGAAACUCUGAUGCAGCGACGCCGCGUGAGUGAUGAAGGCCUUCGGGUCGUAAAGCUCUGUCGCAGGGGAAUAACACAAUGAAGGUACCCUGUAAGAAAGGAUCGGCUAACUUCGUG